rnacentral:rRNA from 1 species
UACGAAGGGGGCUAGCGUUGUUCGGAAUUACUGGGCGUAAAGGGCGCGUAGGCGGUGUGUCAAGUCAGGCGUGAAAGCCCCGGGCUCAACCUGGGAACCGCGCUUGAGACUGGCACGCUAGAGUUCGGGAGAGGAUGGUGGAAUUCCCAGUGUAGAGGUGAAAUGCGUAGAUAUCGGGAGGAACAUCAGUGGCGAAGGCGGCUACCUGGACCAACACUGACACUGAGGCACGAAAGCGUGGGUAGCAAACAGG